CCUUCGGCUUUUCUCAAAGCCAUCAAUUUUCACUAAGGGUAGCAC
rfam:Mus musculus chromosome 5, GRC primary reference assembly.